UACGUAAGGUCCGAGCGUUGUCCGGAAUCAUUGGGCGUAAAGGGUACGUAGGCGGGUUUUUAAGUUAGAAGUCAAAGGCUAUAGCUCAACUAUAGUAAGCUUUUAAAACUGUUUAACUUGAGAGAUGGAAGGGAAAGUGGAAUUCCUAGUGUAGCGGUGAAAUGCGCAGAUAUUAGGAGGAAUACCGGUGGCGAAGGCGACUUUCUGGCCAUAAACUGACGCUGAGGUACGAAAGCGUGGGUAGCAAACAGG
rnacentral:rRNA from 1 species